CCGUGCUAGUUGGGGAGGUAGCGGUGCCCUGUAACUCGCAAUCCGCUAUAGCGAGAAUGAAGCCCUUUUCUAGGUUGUCUGUAUUGUAGUGCCUGCCUAUUACACGUAGUGUUGACGGUCGGGUCCCGCGCAAUGAGUACCCAUGAACCAUGUCAGGUCCGGAAGGAAGCAGCAUUAAGUGGAGUUUACUCAUGUGCCGUGGGGUAGCCUAACCUGAGCUGGCGAUAAUAGUAACGACUAUGAGCGACUAUCGAAAAAAGGUGCACGG
rnacentral:SRP_RNA from 1 species